rnacentral:rRNA from 1 species
GACGAACGCUGGCGGCGUGCCUAAUACAUGCAAGUUGAGCGCUGAAGGUUGGUCCUUGUACCAACUGGAUGAGCAGCGAACGGGUGAGUAACGCGUGGGGAAUCUGCCUUUGAGCGGGGGACAACAUUUGGAAACGAAUGCUAAUACCGCAUAAAAACUUUAAACACAAGUUUUAAGUUUGAAAUAUGCAAUUGCAUCACUCAAAGAUGAUCCCGCGUUGUAUUAGCUAGUUGGUGAGGUAAAGGCUCACCAAGGCGAUGAUACAUAGCCGACCUGAGAGGGUGAUCGGCCACAUUGGGACUGAGACACGGCCCAAACUCCUACGGGAGGCAGCAGUAGGGAAUCUUCGGCAAUGGACGAAAGUCUGACCGAGCAACGCCGCGUGAGUGAAGAAGGUUUUCGGAUCGUAAAACUCUGUUGGUAGAGAAGAACGUUGGUGAGAGUGGAAAGCUCAUCAAGUGACGGUAACUACCCAGAAAGGGACGGCUAACUACGUG